CACUACCACUCCCCUCCCUGGUCUUGGUCUACCCCACCAGCUAGCCGCGACGCGUUCCCGCGGCAGCCGGUCGCCACGCCAUGGCCGGCGACGGCGGGGCCGCCGCGGAGAGGGUGGCGGCGGCCGUGGAGGCGGCGGCGGCGGGCGGCUGGGAGUUCCGGAACGCGUACCGGCGCCAGCUCCUGGCGCUGUCGCGCCGGAUUCGGCUCCUCGGUCCCUUCGCGGAGGAGCUCCGGGAGGCGCGCCGGGGCCCCACGGACGCGGGGAAGGAGCGGGAGCGGGAGCGGGCGCUGGCGCCGCUCGCCGACGCGCUGGAGAAGGCGCUCGACCUGCUCCGGCUCGGCCGCGACGGGAGCAGGAUCUUCCUGGUCCUUGAGAGGGAUAAUGUACUGAAGAAGUUUCAAGGAGUAAUUGCUCAGCUAGAGCAAGCUUUGUGUGAUUUUCCAUACGAUAAAUUGGAUAUAUCAGAUGAAGUUAGAGAGCAGGUUGAGUUAGUGCAUGCACAGCUCAGAAGAGCAAAAGAACGGGCAGACAUGCCUGAUGAUGAGUUCUACAAUGACGUACUGUCUCUGUAUAACAAGAGCUAUGACCCAAGUGCUGAACUGGAUAUCCUUGAAAGAUUGUCAGAAAAGUUACACCUGAUGACCAUCACUGAUCUCACACACGAAUCGCUUGCUUUGCAUGAGAUGGUGGCAUCUGGUGGUGGUCAGGAUCCAGGAGAACACAUUGAGAAAAUGUCAAUGCUAUUGAAGAAGAUGAAGGACUUUGUGCAAACUCAAAACCCUGAGAUGGGGCCGCCAAUAGUUACCAAGCUAAUGGAUUCCAACGGGGAGCCAAGGCCUGUAAACAUUCCUGAUGAGUUCCGGUGUCCAAUUUCUCUUGAGCUAAUGAAAGAUCCUGUUAUUGUUGCUACUGGCCAGACAUAUGAGCGGGCAUGCAUCGAGAAGUGGCUAGCUUCUGGGCACCAUACUUGUCCAAAUACUCAGCAGAGGAUGACAAACACAACACUGACACCGAACUAUGUUCUUAGAAGUCUUAUUGCCCAGUGGUGCGAGGCCAACGGGAUUGAGCCACCCAAACGUUCAUCGCAACCUAACAAGCCUACAUCAGCAUGCUCUUCGAGCGAACGUGCUAACAUCGAUGCUCUUCUGUCCCAAUUAUGCUCUCAUGAUCCUGAGGAGCAGAGGUCAGCUGCUGCAGAACUCCGGCUCCUAGCAAAGCGGAAUGCAAACAACAGGAUUUGCAUUGCUGAGGCUGGUGCCAUUCCCUUACUACUGAGUCUCUUAUCUUCAUCUGACCUGCGGACUCAAGAACAUGCUGUGACUGCACUUCUGAACCUCUCCAUACACGAGGAUAAUAAGGCAAGCAUCAUUUCCUCAGGUGCUGUGCCGAGCAUAGUUCAUGUUCUGAAGAAUGGCAGCAUGCAAGCACGGGAGAAUGCUGCAGCUACACUUUUCAGCCUCUCAGUGAUCGAUGAAUACAAAGUAACAAUUGGGGGAACCGGGGCUAUCCCUGCCCUUGUAGUUCUUUUAAGUGAGGGCAGCCAACGGGGAAAGAAAGACGCCGCAGCAGCUCUAUUCAACCUUUGCAUUUAUCAAGGGAACAAGGGUCGUGCAAUACGAGCUGGCCUUGUGCCGCUCAUCAUGGGGCUGGUGACAAACCCCACAGGAGCUCUUAUGGACGAGGCUAUGGCAAUACUCUCGAUAUUGUCGAGCCACCCUGAGGGGAAGGCGGCUAUUGGUGCAGCGGAGCCAGUUCCUGUUCUUGUGGAGAUGAUUGGAAGCGGGUCACCAAGGAAUAGAGAGAAUGCUGCAGCUGUGAUGUUACAUCUUUGCAGUGGUGAGCAACAACUUGUGCAUUUGGCCCGUGCACAAGAGUGCAGAAUCAUGGUCCCGCUACGGGAGCUGGCCCUGAAUGGCACGGAGAGGGGAAAGAGAAAGGCGGUGCUGCUGCUUGAGCGAAUGAGCAGAUUCCUGGUUCAGCAACAAGAGGAAAAGGAAGCCCAGCUGCUGGCAUCCGCACAGGCCAUUCCUCGGAUCGCAGAACAGGUCCAAGAGACCGACAUCCCUGAACAGUUGGAUAGUCCUUCACCUCAAUAUCCCAUGGUCGCAUGAUGUCGAUGAAUAUAUUUGCAACAAUACUGACAAAAGGUGGGCCAAGCAGUAUCUGAGUCACUUGGCUUCUGGAUCCAUGAUUCAUAUACUGAACGAGUUUUUUAAGCUGUCAGAGUCACUUUUAAUUGGUGAUUAUCCCAGACGCUUCUUCCCAUGCUUGGGCGCUGAAGCUCCCAUCGUGCCACCUGUUUCUGGAUUCAUCGAACAUCUCCAGUGACUUUUCCACGAGCAGCACAUGUAGAUCGAGAGCAGUACUCGUGUAGGACUGUAGGAGAGUCCAUGCUUCUUGCCUCCAUCGGGUCAGAAGUAACUGCCGACACCAGAUUCCCAUGGGCUCAUCACCUACCUUCCAAAGCCGUUCUCUGCUUCGAGGGGAUGCUAAACGCCUUCUGGCUCUGUAUUGUAGAAAUUUAAAGUACAUCGAGAGUAUUCAGGUCACGAAGCGAGCAAAAGCCCCAGCGCCAAAGCCAAAGCUGUGAGCCGUCGGAUCACACGUCGAUCGAGCCAAAAGCAGCAAGCCAACACAAACCAUGAGUCCAUGAGUCAAAGGCGAGCCGAGCCAAGUGUUUGAUGAUCUGAGGAGGGCUGAGGCGCACUUGAGCAAGUGCCCCGAGCCAGAAGAAAAUGAGCCGUAAAGCGAGCCGAUGCAGAGAUCAAUGAGCCGGCUCUAGUUGGCGAUCCAAGCCAUGUUUUGAGUCAGAAGUGGAGUCGGCUAAAAACGAGCUCAUGCCUGAAAUUUGGCUCCACUUCAAUAAAAACAUGCCUCAAACCAGAUGGAGUAUUAGGAGUAAAAUUAUAUUAUUAUUAA